rnacentral:rRNA from 1 species
GAAUUCACUAGUGAUUCAGGCCUAACACAUGCAAGUCGAACGCUUUUGUUUCACCGGGUGCUUGCACCCACCGAGACAAAAGAGUGGCGGACGGGUGAGUAACACGUGGGUAACCUGCCCAUAAGAGGGGGAUAACAUCCGGAAACGGAUGCUAAUACCGCAUAUUUCCAAUUGUCUCCUGACAGAUGGAAAAAAGGUGGCUUCGGCUACCGCUUAUGGAUGGACCCGCGGCGUAUUAGCUAGUUGGUGAGGUAAUGGCUCACCAAGGCGAUGAUACGUAGCCGACCUGAGAGGGUGAUCGGCCACACUGGGACUGAGACACGGCCCAGACUCCUACGGGAGGCAGCAGUAGGGAAUCUUCCGCAAUGGACGAAAAUCUGA